rnacentral:rRNA from 1 species
AGUGGGGAAUAUUGGACAAUGGGCGAAUGCCUGAUCCAGCCAUGCCGCGUGUGUGAAGAAGGUCUUCGGAUUGUAAAGCACUUUAAGUUGGGAGGAAGGGCAUUAACCUAAUACGUUAGUGUUUUGACGUUACCGACAGAAUAAGCACCGGCUAACUCUGUGCCAGCAGCCGCGGUAAUACAGAGGGUGCAAGCGUUAAUCGGAAUUACUGGGCGUAAAGCGCGCGUAGGUGGUUUGUUAAGUUGGAUGUGAAAGCCCCGGGCUCAACCUGGGAACUGCAUUCAAAACUGACAAGCUAGAGUAUGGUAGAGGGUGGUGGAAUUUCCUGUGUAGCGGUGAAAUGCGUAGAUAUAGGAAGGAACACCAGUGGCGAAGGCGACCACCUGGACUGAUACUGACACUGAGGUGCGAAAGCGUGGGGAGCAAACAGGAUUAGAUACCCUUGUAGUCCACGCCCUAAACGAUGCAGAUUAGCUGUCUCGAGUAUCGACCCUCGGGGUGGCGUAGCUAACGCGUUAAAUCUGCCGCCUGGGAAGUACGAGCGCAAGCUUA